UGUGACGAGACAAAGAACCAAGGAACAUACACUCGCGUGACAUCUAUGGUGCCGUGACUCGGAUUUAACCUGGCUGAAACAACCUCUACGUGGAAGAGGCCAAGCACAACAGGAGCCCAACUCAGCAAAGCUCCCAUGCUAGAAGCAGAAGGUGAAGAAACCCAGUGCAGUGGAAGGCCCAUCUUGCUGGAAACCGGGACAGCAAAAAACGAACUCUGAGCAGAAAGCUCACGCGGCCCAGUCUCAGAUUCCAGAAGACCUCCGGUUAAGGUCAACCAGCUACAACAUGCAGUGUCAGUUCAACAAAGGUCAAAGCAAGUCAUGAGGCCAGUCUAUAUUCAAAGGGAAGAAAAUGGACUCCAUCUCUUGAUGCAAAGAGCAGAAUCUAGGUACCAAAAGAGAAAGAGUGGUCAUUGGCUGUCUUUGGACAUAUUUUCCAUGGCACUUAAUAAAUUAUGCAUCUACAUGCAUGUGUUAUGUGUGCUUGUAUAUAUUAAGCAUGAUUGAGCAGAAUUAUACACUAUUCAUAGAUAUCUGAGGUGUAGAUAUGAGAAAAUUAGGCACUUAUGUUAUCAUCAUGAACUAAUAAUUCAGUGGAAGAGACAGUUUAUAAUACAAUAAAAAAAUUCAAAUAAA